rnacentral:tRNA from 1 species
UCCCUGGCGGUCCAGUGGCUAAGACUCUGCACUCCCAGUGCCAGGGGCCCAGGUUCGAUCCCUGGUCAGGGAA